rnacentral:rRNA from 1 species
GUGGGGAAUCUUGCGCAAUGGGCGAAAGCCUGACGCAGCCAUGCCGCGUGAAUGAUGAAGGUCUUAGGAUUGUAAAAUUCUUUCACCGGUGAAGAUAAUGACUGUAGCCGGAGAAGAAGCCCCGGCUAACUUCGUGCCAGCAGCCGCGGUAAUACGAAGGGGGCUAGCGUUGCUCGGAUUUACUGGGCGUAAAGGGCGCGUAGGCGGACAUUUAAGUCAGGGGUGAAAUCCCGGGGCUCAACCUCGGAACUGCCUUUGAUACUGGGUGUCUUGAGUAUGAGAGAGGUGUGUGGAACUCCGAGUGUAGAGGUGAAAUUCGUAGAUAUUCGGAAGAACACCAGUGGCGAAGGCGACACACUGGCUCAUUACUGACGCUGAGGCGCGAAAGCGUGGGGAGCAAACAGGAUUAGAUACCCGUGUAGUCC